GACCUUUUUGUGUCUACAAAAAAGGUCAUAUACAUUUAAGGUAUAUCCAAAAUCCACUCCACAGGAUAAAAAUGGUUGAAAAGUACAUUGGUGGUAGAUAAAAAGCAAAUAAUGUUUAUUUCAGAACUCAAUGGCAAACUCACACAAAUAACCAAGGGCAGUCAUGUCCUCUUACAAGACUCAGGGAGCAACAAGAAUAAACUUUCUGGCUUAUUUGAGUUUGA
rnacentral:misc_RNA from 1 species